rnacentral:rRNA from 1 species
UACGUAGGUGGCAAGCGUUGUCCGGAAUUACUGGGUGUAAAGGGAGCGCAGGCGGGAAGCCAAGUCAGCUGUGAAAACUACGGGCUUAACUUGUAGACUGCAGUUGAAACUGGUUUUCUUGAGUGAAGUAGAGGUUGGCGGAAUUCCGAGUGUAGCGGUGAAAUGCGUAGAUAUUCGGAGGAACACCGGUGGCGAAGGCGGCCAACUGGGCCUUAACUGACGCUGAGGCUCGAAAGUGUGGGGAGCAAACAGG